AUCGAACGCUGGCGGCAGGCCUAACACAUGCAAGUCGAACGAGUGGCGGACGGGUGAGUAAUGUCUGGGAAACUGCCUGAUGGAGGGGGAUAACUACUGGAAACGGUAGCUAAUACCGCAUACCAUCGGAUGUGCCCAGAUGGGAUUAGCUAGUGGGUGGGGUAAAGGCUCACCUAGGCGACGAUCCCUAGCUGGUCUGAGAGGCUGACCGGCCACACUGGAACUGAGACACGGCCCAGACUCCUACGGGAGGCAGCAGUGGGGAAUAUUGGACAAUGGGCGAAAGCCUGAGGGAGCCAUGCCGCGUGUAUGAAGAAGGCCUUCGGGUUGUAAAGUACGUUCAGCGGGGAGGCGUUACCCGCAGAGGAAGCACCGGCUAACUCCGUGCCAGCAGCCGCGGUAAUAC
rnacentral:rRNA from 1 species